rnacentral:rRNA from 1 species
UACGGAGGGUGCAAGCGUUAUCCGGAUUCACUGGGUUUAAAGGGUGCGUAGGCGGAUUCUUAAGUCCGUGGUGAAAUCUCCAAGCUUAACUUGGAAACUGCCAUGGAUACUAUUAGUCUUGAAUGUUGUGGAGGUUAGCGGAAUAUGUCAUGUAGCGGUGAAAUGCAUAGAUAUGACAUAGAACACCUAUUGCGAAGGCAGCUGACUACGGAAAUAUUGACGCUGAGGCACGAAAGCGUGGGGAUCAAACAGG